UGCCCGGCUGUUGGGGUGGCGGUGACGACAGGCAGCAAAAGACCAGCUGGUCCCAGAUUCGCUGCUGGAGUGCUGGAUGGAGCCUUUCUCUGCCCUCUGUGACAUUUCCAAUUUUAGAUAAUGCCUCACAUCUCUGUCCCCCCGGGACCCCCUGGAGCCCCCAUGAUCCCUAAGAAGACAGCUUGAACCUAGAUCUCACCCCCAGGAUGUUGCGGAGGCUGCUGGAGCGGCCUUGCACGCUGGCCCUGCUUGUGGGCUCCCAGCUGGCUGUCAUGAUGUACCUGUCACUGGGGGGCUUCCGAAGUCUCAGUGCCCUAUUUGGCCGAGAUCAGGGACCGACAUUUGACUAUUCUCACCCUCGUGAUGUCUACAGUAACCUCAGUCACCUGCCUGGGGCCCCAGGGGGUCCUCCAGCUCCUCAAGGUCUGCCCUACUGUCCAGAACGAUCUCCUCUCUUAGGUAAGUGCAGGAGGAAGGAGGUGGUGAAAGGAAGGACAAGGUGCGGAGACAGGGAGGCUUGGGGAUAGGGAGGCAUGGAGUGGCAGAAGUGGAACUUAGAAGAGGAUAGGUAGGCUGAGGCUGCAGGUAGGCUGAGGUUGAGAUAGAGGGCUGAGGUUGAGAUAGAGUAGACUCUGAAUUGGGAGUUUAGAUUAGACUAUUGGGUUUCCACUUUCUACUGCUUGUCCCUUUAUGGGCUCUUCCUGCCCCAGGCUAGGAAUUGUUUUCCUUGUAGAUGAGCCCUGGUUUAAUUAGUUGCAAGUCUCUCCAGCCUUCAACUAUAGCUUCCAACCCUGUAAGACAGGAGAAAGUUAGGCAACCCUAAAAUAAGAAGAGAAGGCUAGGUAAGGAUCCUGCACCUUCCAGCCUUUGUAGAGCUGUCCCAGUGAUAGGUAAUCCAAGGCAUGCGAGAUUUCUGAGUGAGCCCUGAGAACUAAGCCCCAGAACCAGACUGCCAGUGUCAGAGGUAUUCCCAAACCCUAGUUUGAUUCUUUUCUCUUUGCCCCUCUGAUCCCUCUACUUGCCAUUCCUUCCCAACAGUGGGUCCUGUGUCGGUGUCCUUUAGCCCAGUGCCAUCACUGGCAGAGAUUGUGGAGCGGAAUCCCCGGGUAGAACCAGGGGGCCGGUACCGCCCUGCAGGUUGUGAGCCCCGCUCCCGAACAGCCAUCAUUGUGCCUCAUCGUGCCCGGGAGCACCACCUGCGCCUGCUGCUCUACCACCUGCACCCCUUCUUGCAGCGCCAGCAGCUUGCUUAUGGCAUCUAUGUCAUCCACCAGGCUGGAAAUGGAACAUUUAACAGGGCAAAACUGUUGAACGUUGGGGUGCGAGAGGCCCUGCGUGAUGAAGAGUGGGACUGCCUGUUCUUGCACGAUGUGGACCUCUUGCCAGAAAAUGACCACAAUCUGUAUGUGUGUGACCCCCGGGGACCCCGCCAUGUUGCCGUUGCUAUGAACAAGUUUGGAUACAGCCUCCCGUACCCCCAGUACUUCGGAGGAGUCUCAGCACUUACUCCUGACCAGUACCUGAAGAUGAAUGGCUUCCCCAAUGAAUACUGGGGCUGGGGUGGUGAGGAUGACGACAUUGCUACCAG
rnacentral:lncRNA from 1 species